AAGAGCAGCAGCCGGCUGGACGGGGGCGGGGGGGCGUGUGUGCGUGUAGUGAGAAGGCACGAGGCAGGGAACAGGACGGCCAGAGAAGGACAGGGAGCCUGACGGAGGUGGAGAUACAAGCAGCAGAGAGAGGGGAAGAGCAGGACACAGACCAACAAAGAAGGAAGAGGAGCAGGCUGGAGACGCACAAAGAACCUGGGGCAGGCAGCACGACAGCGAGGGAGGAAAGAAGAAUAGGGGCAGGAAGCUGGACCGAGCGCGAUGGAGACAGACAAGACAAGCGACAAGAACAGGGCAGAAAGGGAAGAAUGAAGCCACGGGGACAGGGAGCC